GCCUGGGUGGCUCAGUCGGUUAAGCAUCUGACUUUGGCUCAGGUCAUGAUCUCACAGUUUAUGAGUUCGGGUCCCAUGUCGGGCU
rnacentral:tRNA from 1 species